rnacentral:lncRNA from 1 species
AGGAAAUGUACAAUGAGAAACAAGUGGACAAGGAAUCGUGAAGCAUUUUCGCUCGUCCACAUUUUCUAGCUUCCCGCAGAAUGAAAAUGUGAGUGCUUAGAAGAGAGCGUUCUUUCCGGUAAGAAAAUGAAACAUGUUUACGUUGUAAGCGUGUUUCCACUAACUCUAAAUGCUGCAAUCUUAGAUGAUCUUCCACUUGAGCAAGUGGACAUGUGCGGAGUAUGUACUUCCUUCCCCGUUUUCGACCUGGACAGUAGAUCAAUCAAAGGCACAUGGACUGCAUGUGUAGUCGUGUAAGACAAUCAGACUAGGCAUUUAAGUUAGUAAUGAAGACUAAUAAAAAGAAUGGAGCACCUUACCUUUAAAAACUUCCAAGGGCGUGUGACAGUACUGCAAAAAUGGGACGAGUACAGAUUUUGCUAGUGGCAGCGGUGCUUUGUAUCGGAGCUUUGGCACAGGGAUCUCCGAUCCAAUGCAAUCCUGGAAGCAAAAGUUGCACAGUCAAUAACUAUCAGGGCAUAUGGACUGAUCGGGAACCUUGCGAGGUAGAGUCUGUAGCGUACCCAACGAACGAGAAGGAGCUUAUUGCCGCAGUCGCUGGCGCUGUGGAACGGGGGCAGAGCAUCAAAGUAG